GGCUUCUGGCGUGUGUCUCAUUGAUAAUGUGAUUCAGAACAUUAUCUUCAACCCAUUGGCGAAUAUAACCACAAACUUGUUAGUAGAUCGGAAGAGCGUCGUGUAGAGA